rnacentral:tRNA from 1 species
GAGUGUGCAGCUUUGUGGCCAUAGUUUUGCAAAAACUAAUGAGAACUUUUUUUGUUCCACACUCU